GUGACAACCAGGGCCCUAGUUUCUCUCAGUCUGAGUCUGGUGGUUACACCCUAAGACAUGUUUUCCCGUCUUAGCAAGCGUUUUGGGAGGGGGAACGUCGAUUGUGGAGAGACUAGAGUGAAGGAGUCUGGCCUUUCGUCUCAAAGUAAUGAUGGACAAAGACAGCACUUCUGGGGAAUGUGGAAUAAGUUCUGAGCAGUAUAUAUUGAGCUUCCUGUCAGGGGGGCUGGAGGCUUACGCUGACCAUUCUAGCAAUGGGCCACAACAACUGGAGCAUCUGAAAAGGAAUUGAAUUUCCACGAAUAUCACAAUUCCUUAAAGUCAAGAUUUCAGAACAUUAGAUUCUCCAUCCCCACUGGGAGGAUAUGAGAUCAGCUCCUCGCCAUUCUAACAAGCAAACAAAAGGGAAGGCAAAGGACCUGAAGAAGAUGGAGGAGAAUAAUGAAAGCCUCCUUUAAAAGCAGAGACCAAUUCUUGAAGCUGAUCCCAAGUUGGCAACAGCGUGG
ensembl:lncRNA